rnacentral:tRNA from 1 species
GCCCGGGUGGUGGAACUGGUAGACACAAGGGACUUAAAAUCCCUUGGGAUUCAAUCCCGUGUGGGUUCAAAUCCCACCCCGGGCA